rnacentral:rRNA from 1 species
GAUGAACGCUGGCGGCGUGCCUAAUACAUGCAAGUCGAGCGAACAGAUAAGGAUCUUUCUCCUUUGACGUUAGCGGCGGACGGGUGAGUAACACGUGGGUAACCUACCUAUAUGACUGGAAUAACUCCGGGAAACCGGGUCUAAUGCCGGAUAACAUUUAGAACCUCAUGGUUCUAAAGUGAUAGAUGGUUUUGCUAUCACUUAUAGAUUGACCCGCGUCGUAUUAGCUAGUUGGUAAGGUAACGGCUUACCAAGGCAACGAUACGUAGCCGACCUGAGAGGGUGAUCGGCCACACUGGAACUGAGACACGGUCCAGACUCCUAAGGGAGGCAGCAGUAGGGAAUCUUCCGCAAUGGGCGAAAGCCUGACGGAGCAACGACGCGUGAGUGAUGAAGGUCUUCGGAUCGUAAAACUCUGUUAUUAGGGAAGAACAAAUGUGUAAGUAACUGUGCACGUCUUGACGGUACCUAAUCAGAAAGCCACGGCUAACUACGUG